UACGGGGGGGAGCAAGCGUUGUUCGGAUUUACUGGGCGUAAAGGGCGCGUAGGCGGUCAGCACAAGUCAGUUGUGAAAUCUCCGGGCUUAACUCGGAAAGGUCAACUGAUACUGUGCGACUAGAGUGCGGAAGGGGCAACUGGAAUUCUCGGUGUAGCGGUGAAAUGCGUAGAUAUCGAGAGGAACACCUGCGGCGAAGGCGGGUUGCUGGGCCGACACUGACGCUGAUGCGCGAAAGCCAGGGGAGCGAACGGG
rnacentral:rRNA from 1 species